rnacentral:lncRNA from 1 species
UGGAAUUGGCCCUGAUAAAUUAUUAUUAGCAAGGUCGAUAAUAUGUAGAUGAUGAAGUUGUCCGAGCUCUAUAGGAAUGUUACCAAAAAACAUAUUUGAGCAUAGUCGGAGUACCUCUAGUUUUUGAAAGUUUUGUGCAAUCCAAGUAGGUAUGCUACCUGAGAAUUUAUUAUCGCCAAGAUCAAGAAAAACCAGUCCACUGCAAUUUUUCAAUGACAACGGAAGAUGCCCAUGUAGACUAUUAUUGUUUAAGUGCAAAGACCGAAGCUGAGUCAACUUUUCAAUAGAGCUAGGAAUUUCUCCCGAGAGCUUAUUAUCUGCUAGAUUAAUGUAGAAAAGGAAGUUUGUCUCUUGCCAACACCAAGGGAUUUCACCUGAUAUUUGGUUGCUCGAUAGAUCGAGGAUGCGAAGUUGUGGCAAGUUGCAGAUAAAUGAUGGUAUGCUCCCAUUGAUAUGGUUAUGUGAGAGAUCCAACAGUUCCAAUUCUAGUGGGAGAGAAAUUGAUGACAACGAUCCCGAAAAGAAAUUAUUUUGCAGAUACAAAUAACUCAAGGAAGGUGGCAAACGAGGAAUAGGGCCUUCAAGCAAAUUCAUACUUAGUUUCAGAGUGGCUAGGUUUGUCAUUUGCUCCAAGAAAGUUGGCAAAGUACCAUUAAUCUGAUUUUGGGAGAGAUUUAUAGAAAAAGCGGAAAUAUUCCAAAACCAAUCGGGCAAGACGUCCUCGAUGCUUGUGUUCGACAAAUCCAAAUCCUCAAUGGAGUUUUGUGAACGGAGCCAUCUUGGAAAUGCAGGCCCCAACUUACAAGACUUCAGUUGAAUGGAUUGGAGUUGAAAAGUGGGAACCCAAUUAUAGUCUACUGAGAUGACUAGGGAGUUUUCAGAUAGAUCGAGCUCACUUAGUUUGGUUAAGCGAGCGAAAUGGAGUUCAGACACGGUGCCCUCUAGGGAAUUACUAGAGAGAGAAAGAAUAUUGAGGUUGCAAAGCUUGCCGAUCUCAGUAGGUAACGAUCCAGAGAGUAAAUUAUUCGUGAGAUUGAUAAGUUCUAGACUAUUCAAAUUUCCAAUCUCAGUGGGUAUGGGACCAGAAAGUGAAUUAUCACUAAGAUGAAGUUCUCUUAGAUCGGCCAAAUUUCCAAUCCCAGCGGGUAUGGCACCAUGAAACAUAGAAAAACUGAGAUCAAGAUAAGAGAGUCUGUGGAGUUUCCAUAGCCAGUUGGGGAUGGUGGAGUUGAAGAGGUUGUCACUGAUGUCCAGAGUGGCCAGUGCUGUGAGGUUGACAUGGGAAAGAGAAGAGGGGAGGUCGGUGAGGCCACAGUCUGAUAAAUGUAGCUCCUCUAGUGAGGACAACAUGUUCACCGCUUGAAGCCAAUCGUGGGAGGCCAUGGAAAGGUUCACAAAGCUCAUGUCGAGGUAUCUCAAGGAAGUGAGACGCGAGAGCCAGUGCAGGCCAUCGGUCGAUAAGUCAUUGUGGCUGAGGUUGAGACGCUCCAAAUGAGUUAGCAGGAGCAAGGAUGGUCUGAUCUCACCUCCGAUAGACAUCUCAUCGUUAUCAGGGUCGGAAUUCUGGAGGUUGAGCUCCACGACAUGGCCGUUGUCACAGACCACCCCGCUCCAUCUGCAGCAGUCUACUCGGCCUUGCCAUGAUGACAAACGGCUGGAAGGAUCCUUGACGAUGCCGGUUUUGAAGUCGAGGAGGGCGUCCCUCUCGCCCUCUACGCACCCCUUCGUCGUCGGCGUUGUUGCCGCCGUGAACAAAAGAAUGCUCGUAAGCCAAAGCCCGAAAGAGAAGUGCCGUGGCACAGGGUGUGUGAUUUUGGUGCAAGAGGCCAUGAUGCUAUUUGGUGAGUGCAUAGUGUACUGAGAGAUGGUAGGCGGUGGAGGACAUGUAUAUAUAGAGUGGGUGGUGUGCGGGCGUGAUGGCCCUCCCAUCCCCAACCCAUCAUAGACUCCUGUGAAACGUGAAGAUUGAUGCGCUGGUAGCGAUAGGCAGAUAAAAAGACUUGACUUCAGUGGGAUUCGACUCCUGCUGGACCUGCAGUGCGUGCAUCGUGUAGCUUACUCAAACUUGGUUUCUACCUCGCCUGGGUCCCAACAACGAAAGAGAUUGGUACUGGAUUUUAAACUUGAAAGAUACGGCCAUUUAAUUGGCCUUGUUGGAUUGCGUAGAAUGUCUCAUUCGGCCCGAAUGCGAUAGUGUGGAAACUAAUUCAUGCCUCCCUCAUUCCACACGGUUUGAUUCUGAUGUCCGCACAUCGGAACGCAUUAUCUUCUCAGCCAAGAUAAAAUGUAUGGAGGCGAUGCAUACCUUAUUCCACGGGUCGGAAUGUCGCCACCACACGUCAAACGUCAUCACGGAAGACAACGUGGAUGAAGACUCCGACACACCGCAAACGAUUCCUCACCCAAUAUAACACGGUAAGCCAUCGCUUUACAUGUAGCGUCCUUCCGAAAGAGGGAGACUCAACGAAGUUUGUAGCGGAACGCACGCUUCGCUUUCACAUGUGUGGAAAUCUUUGUUGGGAACCCAAAGUCACGCAACAAAUUGAUUCGUUUGACACACAAGUGGUGAAGAUGAUGAGGAUUUCCCACCAUUUCUGUGAUGAAUUUUGUGGGUAAUUGUUCCCACACGAGCGAAAGAAAUGGCUGCAUUUCUUUUUAUCUCUUUCGUUUUCUACAAAAUUGCACUUAACAUUAUGCGUAGAGAUAGUCAUCGUCAACCUAGCGAUCCGUAUCUUGAUUGCUACAUAAACUUUGUCAUAUAUGUUAUCCAUAACUUGGAAGUAGAAGAUCCUCCGAUCGUCAAAAGUGUGCAAGAACCAAGAAUAGGUUUUGUUAGUUCUUGCGCGCGUAUGUAACAAGAAAGCAAAGACCGAUGGUCUUGAAAGAGAUUUGCGAACUAAUAUACUGUUCUUGGAAGGACGUGGCCAUUUAAUGGCCCUCCUCGGAUUGGGUUCCACACUGGCUCUACUCCGAAGCCUUGUUAGACCUGCCGUUCAUUGCACACAAUCUUCCGGGCUAUUACUUUGCUGCUUCAAUAAUUCGAAAAAAAGAUAAUUGAAAAUUAGAUGCAAGAGAUGUGAGUUUAAUUUAUGUUCAACAUCAUCAUCAUCACAUCUUUCAUUCUUAAUUGCGAAUUCAUAUGUAAUUUUAGACUAUAUAAAGGCCAUUCUCUGUCUUUACCCAUCGCCUCAGCCUCGGUGGGAUCCCUCCCGUGGCGGCUACCUUUCUCGCAAGCACCGCAAUGGUAGGUUGGGCUGCUCACUCUACUUGCAGUCUAUCGAGUAAACCUCGAUACGAAUCGUCGAUGCGACUUGGUGCAUCGGAAGAUGGAUUUCCGAAACGUGGAGUAAAUCUUGAUUUCGUGAUGGCAAAGGAGAGAAGCCACAUCCAAACCGUGAGAUCGUCACUGCAAAAUGCCAAAGGAACCAUGCAAUGGAUCGCCAAGGACGUCGUCGUACAACAGACAGCGAUCAUACACCCUAAAAAGAAUGGCGCAUCACAGCGCCCAACGAUCAACGUUGCGAAAUAUAAAGAACACCAUGUGAUCACCGACGACAAUGAAAAGAAUCUGUGCAGAAUGGUGAUCUUUAUAUCACACUUCGGCUAAGGAACCACUCGUAGCGAUAACUGAUAACAAUGUUAAAUCAGUGCAGUUUUGUCGUCUCCGAUGGUGCCUGUUUAUGCGAGAGAGAUCUGUGCGGUCAAUGAUGGAAGAAGAAGGAUUCCCAAACCAGACGAGUUGUUCUCGAUGCCUCCUACAUCGGAACAGAAAAAGAGUUUGAGAUUAACAUUUCAUAAUCUUCAAAACGAGAUCCUUUUUGACAGAUGAAAUGGAUCACACUUAUAACACGAAAGAAACUUGCAUCACAUUCGAUCAGCUGCGUCAUGGCAAUUUCGCAUUCUUAUCUUGAUUGCCACAUAAGCUCUGUCGUACAUCUUGUCCACCGUUGCAAAAUAGAAGAGCCUCCAAUCUUUCUUGAACAGCAUGAUCACGAACACACUCCAUAAGCCGACCAAAUAUCCGAGCCCGGUACCAAAGUAAAAUGACAGCACAUGAGAUCCUUGUUCGUACUCCUCUUCUGUCGAAUCGACGUUGGGAUCGUCGGAGCAACUCUUGGUCACCGGAGGUCCACAGAGUUGGACAUUUCCGAUAUAAAUGGAUGCAUCCUCCAGCGUCCGAAGUUGAUUCCCCGAUGGAAUCGCUCCCGAUAGAUUGUUGUAAGACAGAUUCAAGUGGUUCAGAGAAUUCAGCGCCGAAAAGCUUUGAGGAAUGACUCCGGAUAACUUAUUGAAUGACAGAUCCAGAGUUUCCAAUGAUUUCAUGGCACCAAUUGCCGCUGGAAUUUGGCCGACAAAAUUGUUUCUUGAUAGAUUUAAAGUUUGGAGUGUUGAAAGAGACCCAAUUUCGAUGGGGAUUUCUCCGGUCAAAUUAUUGUUUGAAAGGUCUAUAAUGUUGACAAGGUAAAGAAUAAUUGAAAAAUUAUAAUAUCUUCCCUUUAUAGUUAGAGCGAUGCUAUCUUCAUAUUUGUCAAAAGGCAACAAAGCAGGGCGGUCCUUUACAAAGGGACUAUAAAAUACUUGUUUGUCUCGACGAGUCAAAUGCUGUUUCCAACGAGUCAUUGCAGCAUUUAAAUUGCCAAAGGAGUGUGGAAUUGGCCCUGAUAAUUUAUUAUUAGCAAGGUCGAUAACAUGUAGAUAAGCAAGUUGCCCAAGCUCUGCAGGAAUGUUACCGGAAAACAUAUUUGAGCGUAGUCGGAGUACCUCUAGGUCUAGAAAAUUUUGUGCAAUCCACGUAGGUAUGCUACCUGAGAAUUUAUUAUUGCCAAGAUCAAGAAAAACUAGUGCACUGCAAUUUUUCAAUGAUGAUGGAAGAAGCCCAUGUAGUUUAUUAUUGUUUAAGUGGAAAGACUCAAGCCAAAUCAAAUUUUCAAUAGAGCUGGGAAUUUCUCCCGAAAGCUUAUUAUUUGCCAGAUUAAUGGAGGAAAAGUAGUUUGUCUCCUGCCAACACGAAGGGAUUUCACCUGAUAUUUGGUUGCUCGAUAGAUCGAGGAUAUCAAGUCGUCGAGUGUUGCAGAUAAAGGACGGUAUGCUCCCGUUAAUAUGGUUACGUGAGAGAUCCAAGAUUCUCAAUUCUAGUGUGGGAAAGAUCGAUGGCAAUGAUCCUGAAAAAGAAUUACAAGCCAGAUUCAAAUAACGCAAGUAAGAUAGCAAAACCAAGGAAGUUGGCAAAGUGCCGUUAAUUUGAUUUUGGGAGAGAUUUAUAAAAGAAGCAGAGUUAUUCCAAAACCAAUCAG